rnacentral:rRNA from 1 species
CCUACGGGCUGCAGCAGUGGGGAAUAUUGCACAAUGGGCGCAAGCCUGAUGCAGCCAUGCCGCGUGUAUGAAGAAGGCCUUCGCGUUGUAAAGUUCUUUCAGCGAGGGGGAAGGCAUUAAGGUUAAUAACCUUGGUGAUUGACGUUACUCGCAGAAGAAGCACCGGCUAACUCCGUGCCAGCAGCCGCGGUAAUACGGAGGGUGCAAGCGUUAAUCGGAAUUACUGGGCGUAAAGCGCACGCAGGCGGUUUGUUAAGUCGGAUGUGAAAUCCCCGGGCUCAACCUGGGAACUGCAUUCGAAACUGGCAAGCUUGAGUCUUGUAGAGGGGGGUAGAAUUCCAGGUGUAGCGGUGAAAUGCGUAGAGAUCUGGAGGAAUACCGGUGGCGAAGGCGGCCCACUGGACAAAGACUGACGCUCAGGUGCGAAAGCGUGGGGAGCAAACAGGAUUAGAUACCCCGAGUAGUC